AACGGAGGCGCGCGAAGGUUGGCUCAGAGCGGUCGGAAAUCGCUCGACGAGUGCAAUGGCAUAAGCCAGCCUGACUGCGAGACCGACAAGUCGAGCAGAGACGAAAGUCGGCCAUAGUGAUCCGGUGGUCCCGCGUGGAAGGGCCAUCGCUCAACGGAUAAAAGGUACGCCGGGGAUAACAGGCUGAUCUCCCCCAAGAGUCCACAUCGACG
rnacentral:ncRNA from 1 species